GGAGGAUGGACUUGAAGGUCUCAAAGAAGCUGGAAUACGCUCAUGAAGACGAAACACAGACAUUUGCAGAAAAUGAAGUGGACGAGGAAGCAGUAGAGUGUAAUAACGUGAUUGCUGCAAUUAGUGAGGAUGCAUCAUCUUUUGAGAGUAAUGCGAAUGUCCUGCAUAUCCAGUGAAAUAAGUCAUGAUGAACCUGACUGAAUGCAUUCAUCAACCAUCUCCAACCAAGUCAGAGCUUCAAGGACAGCUUGUGCUAAAGGUGCCUGAGCUUGAUUAAGAAAAAAAGCAUCUCCACUGGCCAAAGUUUACAAAAAAGCAAGAGAAUAGAAGUUUGCUGAUGAUCUAACAGGUAUUAACAUAAAGUGGGUAGCAUGAUCGCCUCAAAUCAUGAAGGUUGCUGGUUCGAGACUCGGCUGGGUCAGUUGGCAUUUCUGUGUGGAGUUUGCAUGUUCUCUCCAUGUUGGCGUGGGUUUCCUCUGGGUGCUCCGGUUUCAAAGACAUGCGGUACAGGUCCAAAGACAUGCGGUACAGGUGAAUUGG
ensembl:processed_transcript